rnacentral:rRNA from 1 species
AAACUAACAAGGAUUCCCCUAGUAACGGCGAGUGAAGCGGGAAGAGCUCAAAUUUGAAAUCUGGCACUUUCAGUGUCCGAGUUGUAAUCUCGAGAAGUGUUUUCCGCGCUGGACCGCAUAUAAGUCUGUUGGAAUACAGCGUCAUAGUGGUGAGAACCCCGUAAAUGAUGCGGACGCCCAGUGCUUUGUGAUACACUUUCGAAGAGUCGAGUUGUUUGGGAAUGCAGCUCAAAUUGGGUGGUAAAUUCCAUCUAAAGCUAAAUAUUGGCGAGAGACCGAUAGCGAACAAGUACCGUGAGGGAAAGAUGAAAAGCACUUUGGAAAGAGAGUUAACAGUACGUGAAAUUGUUGGAAGGGAAACGCUUGAAGUCAGACUUGCUGUUUGGAAUUCAGCCGCAAGGUGUACUUUUCAGAUAUGCAGGCCAGCAUCAGUUUUUGGGGGUGAAAAAGGGUAUUGAGAAGGUAGCAGUUUCGGCUGUGUUAUAGCUCUUUACUGGAUUCAUCCUUGGGGACUGAGGAACGCAGCUCACUUUUUGCACGACCCUCGGGUUGUUCUGAGCUUAGGAUGC